rnacentral:rRNA from 1 species
CAGUCGCCACGGGAAUACGUAGGGUGCGAGCGUUAAUCGGAAUUACUGGGCGUAAAGCGUGCGCAGGCGGUUCGUUAAGACAGAUGUGAAAUCCCCGGGCUUAACCUGGGAACUGCAUUUGUGACUGGCGAGCUAGAGUAUGGCAGAGGGGGGUAGAAUUCCACGUGUAGCAGUGAAAUGCGUAGAGAUGUGGAGGAAUACCGAUGGCGAAGGCAGCCCCCUGGGCCAAUACUGACGCUCAUGCACGAAAGCGUGGGGAGCAAACAGGAUUAGAUACCCCGGUAGUCCCUGUCUCUUAUAC